rnacentral:rRNA from 1 species
ACUACGGGGGGCAGCAGUGGGGGAUAUUGCACAAUGGGGGAAACCCUGAUGCAGCGACGCCGCGUGUGGGAAGACGGUCCUCUGGAUUGUAAACCACUGUCCCCAGGGACGAAGAUGACGGUACCUGGGGAGGAAGCUCCGGCUAACUACGUGCCAGCAGCCGCGGUAAUACGUAGGGAGCGAGCGUUGUCCGGAAUUACUGGGUGUAAAGGGAGCGUAGGCGGGACUGCAAGUUGGGUGUCAAAUCUACCGGCUCAACCGGUAGCCGCACUCAAAACUGCAGUUCUUGAGUGAAGUAGAGGCAGGCGGAAUGCCUAGUGUAGCGGUGAAAUGCGUAGAUAUUAGGAGGAACACCAGUGGCGAAGGCGGCCUGCUGGGCUUUUACUGACGCUGAGGCUCGAAAGUGUGGGGAGCAAACAGGAUUAGAUACCCCUGUAGUC